GCAUCAUAAGGAAAAAACAAAUGUCAGUGUCCUAUGAAAAAAUAUAUAUGUACUCAAUUGAUAACAAGAAAAAGGAUACUCGACCAGAUGACCAACACCAAAAUUUCACUCUAAAAAGAUCAUGCAGCUACGCUUCACUAAAUUCAAUGCAGAGAAAUUUGGCGAUGUGGGCACUGCAAAAACUCAGCUAGGAUGAGAGCAAUCUAUGCUAAAUAAAUAAGUUGAUAUGUGAAGACAUUUUUAUUGGCCGGAAAAGCACAAGCUCCCCUCGAGCUUGGACAGAGUUAUAAACCCCGCUCAAUACUUGCAUGAAUUACAGCUUCUGUAUGUGAUCCAAAGAGAGGAGAAUCGAUACCCAUGAAAUCAAGAUGUUCCAACCAUUGUUAGGAACGAAAUAGCACCUUGUCUCAUUUGUGAGUGCGUUUUCAAAUGGAACAUUUGAAUCUUGACACGUAAGUAUGUCAGUGUUAAAGUUCAAUAACUAUUAUUUCAAAAGAAAGAAAAAAGUUCAAGUUCAACAACUAAGGGAAUGCAACUUUUUCCAGCACUUAUACUACCAUUAGCCAGUUGUGCUAAGGAUUUAACAAGUCAUAACUAUGCUCCUGAUAUAGUUUUAUGCAUGUAACAAGAACUAAAUUAUUUGCAGGUCUAUCAGCGAAUCUCCUUACUCCCGGUUCCAAGAACCAAAACUUCCAAUCGACUUAACAAGUCAUAACUAUGCUCCUGAUAUAGUUUUAUGCAUGUAACAAGAACUAAAUUUAUUUGCAGGUCUAUCAGCGAAUCUCCUUACUCCCGGUUCCAAGAACCAAAACUUCCAAUCGACUUAUGGGCUACAGCAGAUAGUCUAGCUAAUGCCACAACCAAAAUUACUUUUAAAUUAACUAUUCAUUUUCAGCAAAUCCCACAGUUCCUUGUGAUAGCACAUGAACCUUAUCCACAAUAGGUCAAGGUUGAGUCUCAUAAAACAGACAAAUGAAGGAGCAACUCUAAUUGUAUGUGCGUGUCUAACAGAACAAGAGCCACACCUCA
rnacentral:lncRNA from 1 species